CUGCCAUAAUUUGCUUGUAGAAAGCAGCGUUUUUUUUUGUGCUUUUGGCGGUUUUAAACGCCAUUACCUACUCCUGCUCCUGCUUCACUGGUAAAAAAAAUUUUUUAUUUCAUUAAUAAACAUUGUGAUAUUUAAUCAAACCUCCAUCGCAAUGUGAGAAACCAAGAAGAAACUCCAUGGCAACAUGAGAUCUGCAAUCUCAUCCGUGAGGCUCUCCUCUGGUGGCAAGCUCCUCCAUCAACGCUUUUCUUCCAGCUGCGAUCUCCUCCAUCAACGUUUCACUUCAAUUGAUGGAUCUGCCAUGUGAUUUUUCCUGCUCCACCGUGUUGUCCUCUGUGAAGCUUCUCCUUCUCCAUCUUCGUUGAAUUAGGUUUUGAUUUUCUUCCUUGUUAGCAGAAAUUGGGGGUGAUGAAGAUAAAUUGAUUUGGAACUAUUUAGAAGAUGGAAGCUACUUAAAUAAGAACCAGUUGAAGAUAGACAUCAUCUUUUCAUUCAUCUGAGCAUAAUAGAAUCAAAGCCAACGAAGCAUUGAAUUCUAAGUAUAAAGAGAUCAUGAAUUUUGUGGUAACACCAAGCUAAACAAAUUAUUUUCACUUUAAUAAGUGGAGGGAAUGAGAUUGAAGGAGAUGGAAGCCAACUUGACAUGGGAGUGCUCGAUUUCAACAAGGUCAAGGCUUCGGUGGGCAAAGGAAGGGAAGGAAAAAGCACCAAACACUUUGCAACUGAGAAACAAAGAGAGCAACUGAAUGGCAAAUACAAAAUCGUGAGGAGUGUUAUCCUAAACCCCAUAAAGGUCUUAACCAGAAUUCGACACUGCAGCUAUCACGUGGCUUUCCUGUGGGGAAAUCUCCUGGUUCUAAGCCUGGUGUUCCUGUGGUUGUCGAAAGAGUUAGGAUACAUGGACUGUCAAGGAUUAGAAACCUGAGUAAAUUUGCGCACUCCAUGAAAGUGAAGGUGUUGCCUACAGAUCCAAAUGUUUGCAUUCUGACAAACCCCAAUUUGACGGUUUAUCUUGUAUUGAAUUUAAGGGAUUUUAUCACCUUUUACCCACAUUUAUUCAAUGAAAUAGCAUGGUUUUGUAUAUUCUCCUUUAAUUGUGCUUAAGAGUGAAAACAUGCUUUUUAGGUCUUAAAAUAGCUAAAUUUAAUUCUCCUUGAUU